UAAACCACCUAAGGAAAACAAUGUGUUAUUUAGUGAUGUCUGAAUGAGCUGACAGUUGGCAGAGGUGAAUGGGAGAGUGUGUGAAGGUGCCAUCUGUGUGGCUGCACUGUUAACUGGCCCAAACUUCUCCCCUCGCUAUGUUUUGAUCAGAGUGAGGUAACAGAUGAUCAAUGGACUCUGAAAGGUCCAUUUCAAGAAGGAGCUGAGCUGCUGCAACUUUGGGAUUGAGCAGAGAUUGACAAGGCAGCUGAGUCUCUUCCCUUCAGCAAAUCAACUCUUUCGGGGUCGGGGGGGGAGGAUUAGUUGUGAGCCAUCUUGGAAGGUCAGGAAGGGACUAAUCAACAAGGUGAUUGACGGAGCUGAGCUUGUUCUAAACAACACCCUUGCUGAGUGGUGAAGCAGCAGGACUGUGAAUUACAGGAAGAAAGACCAGUGCUGCGUUGGAGUGACCAUUGGCAGGGGAUGUCUGGGCAGGAGGAGGCACUCUGGCGGCUGCCCCCUUGGGCCAGGAUGAGACCUUUCCACCUUCCUGGAUGCUGAUCUGCAACAUCCAGGUAGUGCACCGCACGGGUCCAGUCAUGGGAGACUCAGCCUUCCAGGAAAAGAAGCAUUAAUUAAGGUAAAGUGCUUGUCCCGCAUACGAGAUGGACCACUGAAGACCAAUGAGAUGAUGUGGAGCAUCAAAGGAGAGAAGCCCUGUGGACAGCUUUCCUAACUUCCUCUAGGAAGAAAAGACCUAGUCAUGAA